GGGGUAGAAAUAUUUAGUUUUGCAUACUAAAUUUGUUUAAAAUAAAAACCUACCUUA
rnacentral:tRNA from 1 species